AUGAUCUUCAGGAUAAUCAGAUUUCUAUUGAAAAUGUGACUUGUGGAAUAUUACAGAUAUUUCAUAGGGGUGAAUGUGAUCAGGUAACAAGGUUGAGUAAUAACCUUUAAUGGAUGCUUCAUGAAAAAGGAUAUGUCACAUAUGAAAUGUUAAAUGGAUUCACACAAUAAUGAAUAAAUAGUAUGAUUAUUCAGUAUUUUAUUGAUUCUUUUUCAAGGUAAAGUGUAGAAAAAAUGCUGUAUUGUUUUAAGUUAUCUGAAAUAUGCACAUACAUAAUAUGUUGUGCUUUAUUCACCUUUAAUUUACAUACAUAUUUGUAAAUGUAAUAUUAGUAGAACAUACAUUAAAUGACACCCAAUCAUGGAAACACUCCAAAAGGCCAAAAGAACUGAUUUUUGGAUUGAAUGUAUUGCAGAAGAAGGUGAGCAGGACUCUUUCGAGCACGUCCGAGGACUCAUUAAACAUUCAGAGCAGCAGCUCUGUGGAGCCAGAGACGAAGCAGGAGAAGCACGAAGGUGAACAGUUCACCAGCCCCAGAAAGAAUUCUCUCUCCAGAAUGGACUCCAAACAGAAAGGCCGAAACCUCAACGCCUUCAAUCCUUUCGCUCCUAAAGCCGUGAGCACAGAGGGCCAGAAACAGAUCCCCAACUGCCUCCUCCAGCUCACCAGGCCCAAAGAGAAGAAAGAUAAGAAGAAGAAGAAGAAAAGCAAGAGCAAGCCCACUCAGGAAGCAGAAUCCCAUCUGCUGCCACUGACAGAGCCUCCACUGGACGGAGAAAUUUUCUUCUGCUGAUUUGGCCUUCGCUACCAAUCAACUCAUAACUCCCUUGUUCUCUAAGCUAUCUGCACCGGCUGAAUGUAACUCAGUGCAGGAUGCCUGCCAAAGUGCCCGCACUGUGUCCCUGGCACGCUCCGUCACGCUAAUAGGGCUGAAUCCGCCCUGAAAUAUUUCCACAUCCUGCAUAUGUUGCGCAUCCACGUGGGAUAUAUAUAUAUAUAUACUGGAGGCCAAAAUAUGAGCAGGUUUUGUUUUUAAAUAGUCUGGUUUUUAUUAUUGAGAGCAGUCAAAACCAAUUGUGGAUAAUUACACCAAAAUGUUGACGAAACGAGGUUCUACAGUAAUUUAACUUCCCUCUGAGACUGAAAUUUUUAUCAGGCACUUUAUAAACCCCCACGAAUACAGUGACAAUCAGUGUAGACAUUAUUAACCCAAGACACUCUAUUCCAGAGAUCCUUUAUACUGUGGUUAUUACCACUUGUUUAUAUACGUACAUUAUGACAUAUCACAGUGUGUGAUUCUAAAUACUGUGGACAUCCUGCUAGUAUUCCAGACGUAUUUUUCUAGCAAAACAAGAAGGCUAAAAAGAGUAAAAGUGUAAAUAUUGUAGAAAUCAUAGAAAUAAAUUGACCUGCUGGACAGGGAGUGUGUGUGUGCACAGAAGCAACACCCACUAAAAACUGCAAAAACUACGCAUUCACACCACUUAGGCACAAAGCCUAACAGUUGCCACAACCACUUUCAUUUAUGUCAUGUUUAUUAUUGUUUUUAAAUAAUACAACAAAAUGUUCACCUGGGUAGAUUUCUGUCAAGUGGGUUUAAUCGAUCAGCUUUUGUGGUCUUUGACUGAAUCCAUUCUUUAGAAGUCACACUUUGACUUGACGUGUGUAUCUCUAGCAUACGCAUACUGUUUUUGUUUGUUUCAGCUAGCACUCACUUGCAUUGAAUGAAUUGACCCAGUAGGAGGCGACAAAGAGUACUGCGUUGUUUAUCAUUAAGAAUGGUCAUGCACCUAUAUAUAUAUAU
ensembl:lncRNA